UGGUUUAAACCCUAAAUUAGUAGAUUAGUGCUCAGCUGCAAAAAGACUGGGUUCGUGAAAACAUUGAUCGAAUAUGUACGUCUGCUUUGAUGGCAGGUUUGAAACCUGUUAUCAAAACGGCAAAUGCGGGGUUAUUGGAUGAAAUAGAGCAGGAUGCUUUGAGAGUGGAAUCGAACUCUGCUCACUGCGCAGUCAUGUGAGGGGUUAAUACAGCCACAGUAAAAGUCACAGUGGUUUCAAUGGCCAAGGUCCAGUAACAAUACACAGAAUGAAGUGGAGACGACUUUGGGGUUGGAAAAUCCUUGCGAGAAUCAAAGACAAUGGAGUCUAAAAGUGGUCAUGGAAAAUCAUGGAGAAGAGAGACCAGUCAUUACGGGAGUGAAUCGUUGGACUCGGUGGCGAAAUAAAUGUUGCCGUGUCUAAGGGUAGUACAUGCUAAAUUAAGUCCAUAUAAACAAUGGGGUUGAUUAAAACAAAUGAUUAAUGAUUGGAGGGAGGACAGUGGAUUUAUCAUUGAGUUUGGUUUGUAAUUAAAACGUACGAGUUGCUGAUUAAGAUGUAGCAUAGUGAAUGCCAAGGAAGUGUACACUUUCUCUUCCAGGAGAGGAGGGGGUGUCAUUUUCAUGCUUUUUGGAAGGAUUAGGCCUGUAAAUGAGCUCCCAGAUAAGUAAGGCCUGGCCAUGUGUGUUUUCGCCAUAUGGUUUAACACACACACACCAGCAUGCAAACACAAUUUACUGAUAAUGAAUAUAGGUUAGUGGUGUUACUAUCGUGGGAUUUAUUGUUGGGGUCUUAAAUUUAGGUGGUUUCUGAAGGAUAGGGAAAGGAAAUAACUAAUGGUGGUGAAUGACCUUGGUCCUGACUUUCUGGUGAGGCCUGAUCAAUCUUACUAGAAAUAAUGGACAAUAGGAUUUUUAAAGUAUAGUCUAUUUUACCUUUACCUUAUGGGAUAAAAUCAUUUCCUUAUGGAAUAAUCAAGAGUUGUAACUCUAAUUGGAUGUUAAUAACCUAAGUUGUUUAUCUUUGAUUGAACAGGUAGUGUUAUGUCGGUUAGUGUUUCUGUAUUUGUUUUGAUACAUAUUUCACCAGAUUGGGGAUGUUGUAUUGUUGGGAUUUCUCCCGAGAGGUUAGUGAUGUAACUCCCUGACCCUGUAUCUGCUGUGAGGUAGACACUAUGAUUAGGGAGUAUAGGACAAUUUGGAAAAUGGUUUCAACAGUGUGUGGUUACACUCUUUGGCAUUAACGUUAUAGGGAAUUGGGAAAGCGGAAUUGAAUGUGACUGGCGGUGGCUCAUACAUUAAGUGGGUAAUAGAGUCUCUGGGAAAAAGUACCACUCUGUAUAUUGUUACAGGAUAUAGCACAUAGGAGAGGACAGCUAACUGCACAAUAUAGAAUACAGAGACUAAUAUAAAGUAAACUGAAUGUCACACAGACCUAGAUCAUGGUGACAGUAGCAGAGAUAGUAUACUAUUGUCAACUUUCAAUGAGGGUUUGUCAAAGAAGGUAUAACGAUUAAAAGGAAAGCAACAAAUUCCUGUAUACAGCAGGUCACAUCAACGGAAAGGAAGUUUGCUGUAAUAAUAUCAUCACAUCUCCUGAAGAGUGUGAUUAAGGAACAUACAGUAUGACUCAGAGUUUGUUAGGUUGGAUACGAUUCCAACGCUACCAUAGGACUCAUGCCACAAGAAGGGUUAAGUGGGAGACCGAUGGGACUACCGGGUGCUGUUAUUCACGUCACAAAUUAGUGAUUUGGCCAUGCUGGGAGAGUCUAUGUUGUCAUAUUGUCAGGAAAUGACCCAUGCGUUGCAGUGUAUAUCUUCCCAGGUGAAAGAGGCCCACCGUAGACUCCCUCAGGAUUGGAAAGCACACUCACUAGAGCCGGGAGACUACGUGUGCUUGAAGGUUCAUCAACCGGGUACCUUUCAGCCCAGGUGGACCAGACUGUCCUACACAGCAGUGAAGGUGUCGGGAAGGAAGGCCUGGAUCCACGUGUCCCAGGUGAAAGCUGUAUCAACACCUACUGACUUGGGAGAGGCUAGAGCAAGUUUUGAUCAUUGAUAAUUGUUUUGAUAAAUUGAGGAUUAAUUGUGAUAGACGCGGAGGGAUGCCUCGCCUAUAAAUUAAGAAAAUGGGUGAUAUACUCAUUAGAGAAUGAUACCACUCCACUGUGUAGAGUUAUACACGGAAUAGUGCGUUGUGUGGGAAAGACAGUAGUCUGUGUAGAGUGGAAGGACUACUAUGAGGAUAAGCCCAACUUGGAGGACUCUAGCAGGGUGAUCAUAACCAUUGCUGAAAUAGUUUUACAAUUUCAGACUUUAAUAGCCACAUAUGGAGAUGGUUUUACUGAUGAGGGAACAACAAUUGAGAAGGUUGCCACAGACCCAUGUAUACGGGAAGCUGUAUUCCCAGAGAUAAAGCUUGCUGUAGUGGUGGCAGCCCAUCUGUUGCAGGGGACAAUCAGGAAGCAUGUGACCCAGAGAUAUGUAGAACUGGACACUCUCUCAACCCCACUGCUCUCUCCUCCAUGUCAAAGGGCAGAUAAUCCAUUGACAUACCUCCCAGAGAACUGGGACCAAGACACGGUAACAGAAAUCUGUGGAGGGAUUGCGGAAAAACAAUUAGGGUUUUCACAGGGGGGUGGGUAUGCUGUGGGAUGAGAGAUGUGAUCCAGAUCUGAGUAAUGGUCAUUAUUGCCCGCCAGUCCCUACUGUAGCACCACAUAAGGAGGCAAUAGAUAAGCUGGUCAGGAAAAGGUUAGGAGAGGACUGGGAAAAAGGCAGAGAAUAUCACAAACUCAAUCAUAGAUCUAACGGCAAAGCGGGUGAUGAAAGUUACUGACAGAGUUAAUGCUGUAACAAUACUUACUGCUGUUACAUUGGGAGUAAUAACAAAAGAGACUUAAGGUUGUGGAAGGUGUUGUAGGAAAAGCAUGGUAUUGGACUAUUGAUCAAAUAAGGUGGAUGUUGGAAUAUGCGGCAUGGGCAGUGUUGGCAGUUACGGGUGUAGCAAUGAUGGCAUUGUUACGAUUCCAUAUAGUAAAGCUUUGUUGUUCAAACACACCUAUUGUGCAGAUUUUCCACAAGAGGAGGUGAAAUUGAUUCAGGCUACGGCUUGCGUCUUUAGGGCAGCUUUAGGAGGUGAACGCAGUGAGGAGGACUUGGCUGAAAAACACAUCUUGUGAUCCUGUAGCCCUUGAUGGAAGACUGAGGAAAAGCAUAAUGGGGAUAUUUAGAGCCCUACUUUUUGUGGACCUGAGCAGAAAAGCAUAUCAGUGGGUAUAGGGCUCAGAGGUAGCAAGAUAUUUUGUCAGUUGUGUCCCUCAAGCUGUGGUCAGAGAUUUAGUUUAUACAUGUAUCUACAUAGAUGCUUAUGAUAAUCAGUAGAAUUUAGGAUUGUUUUAACUCAGUGUUUUUUUGUUUUGUGUCUUCUAGUCUUUUCUAUGUCUAUCAAGUCGGUUUCUAUCACACUCUCAGGUCUGGAGAAAACCAAAAGAAGGUCAGAGAGCAGGGUCAGGCCCAGAACAGAAGAUAGACGGGGUGUGAUUCUGACAUCUGGCUAAACAAAAGAGGAGCAUGGACAUUCCACAGGGGAAAGGAGGGACACUCAUUGGGGUCAUAAAAUGUAUGGCUGAGGAGGUGACACCUACAAGGAAUGAAGAGUAUAAGAUGUUUUCUGAACUUUCUAAAUAUAUGCCCUCAGCUGACUAUCCUUGGUAUUAAAUA